UACGUAGGGGGCAAGCGUUGUCCGGAAUCAUUGGGCGUAAAGAGCGCGUAGGCGGCCCUGUAAGUCCGCUGUGAAAGUCAAGGGCUCAACCCUUGGAUGCCGGUGGAUACUGCAGGGCUAGAGUCCGGAAGAGGCGAGUGGAAUUCCUGGUGUAGCGGUGAAAUGCGUAGAUAUCAUGAGGAAUACCAGAGGCGAAGGCGGCUACCUGGACAAUUGCUGACGCUCAGGCACGAAAGCGUGGGGAGCAAAAGGG
rnacentral:rRNA from 1 species